CGCGGGGCUCGCCGUGCCGGGCCGUGCCGGGCCGGGCGGGACGGGGAGCCCCUCGGCCCGCGGGGACAACGUGCGGCCGCAGGGCGGGCGUCGCGCAGCUCUCCCGGGGAGCCGGCGGUCCCCUCGUCACAGAACCGCAGCAUUCUCUGAGUUGGAAAGGGCAAGGGACACACAUGGAUCAUCGCGUCCAGCUCUCGGCCCUACACAGUACCAUCCCCAAGAGUCACAAAUCCUGAAUGAAAAUUCCUGUUGGGAGACAGAUCAGUGACCAGUGGAAAAAAGAGAGGAAGAUGUCUGGAAAAAACAAAUUCCUUUCAUUAUUUCAGACAGAAAGGCAACAAGAAACUGAACAAUCACACUGAUCCUAAACAAACAUUGACUGGAGGGUAAGUAACAUGAAAAACUAUAAAAAAGGAAAAAACCAAAAAUAUCCAAGAAAACAUUUUUACUGGCUUCUCUGAAAGAGGGAACAUGCAACUGCAUCAAAAGACUACAAAAGAAAAUUUGUAAUUGCUUCUGACAGAAGUUUGGACUCUUCCAGUCAUGGCCACAAGCAAGUCUGCAGUCUUGAACAAAGAUUUCAUCUCCUCCAGCAACUGGUAUACGCCUUUCUUAGUUUAAAGAAAUGGAAUGUGGACAUCCAGGUCACACAUUGGCUUGUCUGCUCUACAUGCUGAAAGCAUAAUUGCAAGCUAAUCACACAUAGAUCAUUAUAACAAAUCAAGAGUAUGUAUCCACAAAAUGGGAAGAAGGAGAACAAAAGCCUAAGUCUGUCCCCACUGUGGCAUCAUGAGGCCCCUGAAACUUCUUGGCAGCUCCUAUUCACAGAAUUUGUGAAGCAGUAGAAGGAAAAUUGCAGGAGCAAAAUUGCUGGGCAUGCUGCUAUUCCUGCACUCAGAUAUAUGCAUGGGAGAAGAGGAAAAUGGCAGGGGCUGGAAAAAGAGAGGCUGUGUUACCUCUACUGGUGUGUGCUUGGGAUGAUCUUACUUAUUUCUGGGGCAAUCUGCUAAAUACCUCUGCAGGGUGAAUGUGGGAACAUCGCUCCCAAUGCUAGGUAUACUUUCUUCUGUACCUUCCUGGACUGAUAACUUGCCUCAGCACAGACACCAGCUUUCUCAUCUCUCAAAUGGACUAACAGUUGAAAUGAAGAACUGAAAAGCACAUUUUCUUCCAUGCCUCCCCAGUUGCAAGGUUUCUGGUUGCAGCUAUAGUAGCCAAAAGGGCAUAUGCUAGCACAAAUGCUUCAAUAAAGCUGACAGACAACAAGCUCUCUAUCAGCCUUCUCCUUAGCUGGGUCUUUUCAGAGCCUCUGGCAGUGUGACAAGAAAGCAGCCAAGCCCAAAACAGCAGGAGUGGCAUGCUAAACUGCAAGGAGGGCACAGAAUAAAUUGUAAAAAUGACAGAGGCCAUAUGGAGCCAGAGACUCAGGGAAAAAUCCUAAAAGGUGAUCAUGAUCUGCAACAUGUUGGUGGGAUCACUUCAGCCCAUUAUGGUCUUUGCACAUAGCUGGGCUACCCUGCAUCUCUGCCUCUGCUCCCUUUUGAAUAAAGGCAGAGUGAGAAAAAUAUCAGCCCCUACGUACAUGGGAAAGGCUCUUUAGGGUGUGAGCAAAGGGAAGGCUGCCUGGGGACACCAGGGGAGAAUGUAGAAGCAGCAAAAGGCCAGCAUUGUCUUGUAGCAGUGGAAGCACAAGUGGUAUAAUCCCUGAAAAUAGAAGUGAAAGAGGCAGGAAAGUAGGGGUUCAUGACAGAAAGCAGGCUUGUAUUAGCUCUGAGGUUGGUCUGGGUGGCGGGUAGGCACCUCAAAUAACAGCGCAGGCUGUGCCAACCACACAGGCACAGGCUGGAGGACUGAGGGAGGGGGUGAAAGGUACAAAGAAGGUUUAUUUUGCUGAAAAUUUACACUCUGUGUUCAGGCAAGAACAAGGCAGCAGCUGAACAGAGCUGCUCCUUAGGUGCAGGGACAGCUAAGCCACAGUGGAGGCCUUGCAGCCAAAAACAACAAGAGUAAAAGGCCUGUUUAUCUAAGUGCUAUCUUUUCCCCAAAGCCUGCUAAGAGUUACCAAGAAGUACACAAGAACUUCACACAUUGGGCAAAGCAACCACCUAACAGACCAGUGUGAGAGAAGACCUGUGCACCAGCAGUCCGUUCUUGAUUCAGUUGCACUGGGGCCUGCAGAGGGCUUUGCCUGCUAGCAGUGGCAGCCCCAGCACGGCUCUCCUGAGUCCUGCCAGAGACCUUCCCAGGAGGAGACAAACUGAGGAGCUGAGGGUGGGCAUCCCCAGUCAGGGGAGCAACUGCAAGUGUCAGCUUGGCUGGGCAGAGGCAGGCUAACCCUACCUCUUGAAGCCUUGCAAAGCCAUGGAUUGGGACACUCAGGCUUUUGGGGUACAACAGGUUUUCCAGUUGCUGUCCUUCAUAUACCCCUGGCUCCUGCUGAUCCACCUGCAUGCAGACAGGUCUGUCGUGCCAGACUGACCCCUGUGAGUUAGUGGGAUGGUCAGCACCCUGCAUUUGAUUUUAAGCUCAGCGUGACAGAAAGACACUUAUUUCUGUGAAAUAUGGAUACUAAGAAAGGGGUAAUGCAGAGCAGCUGCUGGUCAUGCAGACUGUUAGCUCCAUUGUCACUCAGAACAGCCCUGAAUGAACAACCUCAUGGUGUUGCCUGCAUUUCCACUCCCCAUUGUUAGCUGAGGCAAUGGAUGUCUCCUGUGGAAAUAAGAAGUUUCCUCAUUCUAAUGGAUAUGUUCCAAAGCAUUUUGUCCCCAUGUGAUGCUCUCAGCAGCCAGCUGAACUGUCACAUUCAUGAUGGACAGGAAUGCCAAUAACAUAGCUUUUAAAUAAUUUCAGAUUCUGUAGGGUGAAAAUGCUAGAUACAGAGAUGUCACAGCUCUGAUAAAAAAAAAGGGACCAGGACAUGGAACAUGGCAAUACUGCAAUUCACUUCAUAAGCCUGCGUAACCAAUGAGUUGCUUUAGGAGCCAAAUUAACCAGUCCUUUAUAAACAGCCCUAGCUGAGGGUAUAAAAAGCCCUAGUUGUAG